rnacentral:snoRNA from 2 species
GCGCCUUAAUUCUCAGGGUUUGUGGAUUAACCCACCAUCGACACCUGUCUGUACUUGGCGCCAGAGAAAUUGUCGAUCACUGAACCAUUGGUGUUGCUGUAAUUGCCUAGCCACACUUCACUGAUUUGUGACCCACACUU